GCGAAGAAAACUUUGCAAUGUGCGAAAGCACGACAAGGUUAAUCCGAGUGGUUUCUGCUAAAGGAACCUUUUGCCAGUCCUAGAAACACUGGUGAAUAAGGGGUGGGCAAGUUCUGGUGUCAGCCGCCGCGGUAAAACCAGCACCUCAAGUGGUCAAGAUGAUUAUUGGGCCUAAAGCAUCCGUAGCCUGCUUUGUUAGUUUUCGGUUAAAUCCAUUCGCUCAACUGAUGGGCUGCCGGAAAAACUGCAAAGCUAGGGGAGUGGGAGAGGUAGACGGUACUCGGUAGGAAGGGUAAAUCCUUGAUCUAUUGAUGACCACUGUGGCGAAGGCGGUCUACCAGAACACGUUCGACGGUGAGGGAUGAAAGC
rnacentral:rRNA from 2 species